UGGAUUCAACAAGCCUGCAAUCGGUACGGGUUGUGAGAGCAAGAGCCCGGAGAUGGGUUCUGAGAAAAGAACCCAGGUCCUACGGGACGCAUCAGGCGCGAAAACUUUACAAUGUGCGAAAGCACGAUAAGGGAACUCUGAGUGCCUCCUAUGGAGGCUGUUCAGGUGUCUAAAAAGCACUUGAAGUAAGGGCUGGGUAAGACCGGUGCCAGCCGCCGCGGUAACACCGGCAGCCCAAGUGGUAGCCACGAUUAUUGGGUCUAAAGCGUCCGUAGCCGGCCAGGUAAGUUCUUUGGGAAAUUUAGCCGCUCAACGGUUAAGCUUUCAGGGAAUACUGCUUGGCUUGGGACCGGGAGAGGUCAGAGGUACUUCAAGGGUAGGGGUGAAAUCCGUUAAUCCUUGAGGGACCACCAGUAGCGAAGGCGUCUGACCAGACCGGGUCCGACGGUGAGGGACGAAGGCUAGGGUCGCGAACCGGAUUAGAUACCCGGGUAGUCCUAGCUGUAAACGAUGCGGGCCAGGUGUUGGCAUUACUGCGAGUGAUGUCAGUGCCGAAGGGAAGCCGUUAAGCCCGCCAUCUGGGGAGUACGGUCGCAAGGCUGAAACUUAAAGGAAU
rnacentral:rRNA from 1 species